GGAUGUGAGGGUGAUCUGGCUGCGACAUCUGUCACCCCAUUGAUCGCCAGGGUUGGUUUGGCUGAUCUGACCGGCUAGGCGGGUGUCCCUUCCCCUCCCUCCCUGCUCCUUGUGCGUCCCUCCCAAAACUGCCUGCUCCGUGGAAGAUGAAGACCAUCCCAGAUAGAAGGAGCCUACUGUUUUUCAGUCAAGGGUGUACGAUAGAAUGUGCCUCCAUGUAAAAAUAAAAAUCCUUUGUGUGCACAGAAAGCUAGCAGAUCAGG